AAGGAGAGGAGAAGGAAGGGCGAGGGAGCAGGAGAUAGAGACGGAGAGAGAGAUGUGUGUUGCAGUGUGUCGAAGCCUGAACCUCCUGCUCCAUUUCACACUCUGUAGGUCCUGACGCGUCACCACUCCAAGACGCACACACAUCGCCACGCACAUAGACACACACCGGCUCUGGCCUUCUUCUUCUUUCUAAGUCACACGUGUUUGCCGCCUUUUCUCAGCUAAACACAGAUGCAUAAACACACAAUCGCUAAACUGAAUUUUUUGUUUGUCCCUUCAUCUAUUGCACAGCGUUCAGGAAAUAUUUAAAAGAAGAAUCCCCUCUAAAACAUUAGAUUUGCUGGUGGCCCAUGGUGCUUUCUACCAGCGCUGCUUCUUUGCAUCAAUGACCAACCAUUAUAGAGCGGGCAUCUGUCAGAGGAGCGCGGAGGCGCGUCGGCCGGAGCAUAAAAGCUAAUUACAAGGCAUCACAAUAUUAAAGAAUGUAUUGAACCUUAACACGCCAAAUGAAAAGAAGAAUCAAGAUGGCUUUAGAUUGAUUUGUCCUGAUUUUUGAGGUGUUGGUCUGAGAUUCUCUCCAAAACACUGUAGCUAAACUGAAUCCUUGCUGUGGCAUAAAAAGCUAAAGCAAUGUCCAGAAACAAAAAUCCCUUUUUCUUCUCCUUUUUUUGUUUUGUUUUAAUUGCAACUUCUUCAUCAUUGUAUUACAAAUGUCUUUACAAUCUUUACAAAAUAUGGCAAAUUCAUUCCUAAGACGUCCCAUAAUUUGAUCUAAACCCCUUCAGCGCUUACUGUUGAUAUUUCAGAUCAAAUGUUUAGAUGGUAUCUUGUAAUAUGUCGAGGAACUGUUGACAUUUUAUUGUGUGUGUGUUGUUUUGCUGUCAUUCAGAUGAUGGAGAAUUGUUUAAUGUGUUUAGGGGGAAAAGAAGGACUUGAGGCUGGAGGAAACGCUGCUCGCUUGAUUUUUUUUUAACCAAAUUUGACGAAAAAGGCAGUUUUCAAUAAAUCCAUAAGUGUGCUGAAAUUUUAUAGAAAAAGGGAGACAUUGUGGCUUCAUGCAUACGUAGUUACCUCCCUGCUUCUGCUUCUCUCUGUGCUGUGCUUGGCCAAACACUCCAGGACCUGCUGUGUCUCAAGGUGCACUCAAAACACAGGCUUCCUCGAGCUAAAGACGAUUUAACUUUGGCCUUUCUGUUGCGGUGCAGGAUCCAACAGCUUCGAUGUUGCCGUUAAGUGAAAGUGUGCCAAAACGAAGACAGAUAGUCGCUACUGAGCAGAACUCCAGUCUCAUGAUCAUGUAGGACUUCUUCUCUCCCCAGAAAACAGUCCUGAAAGAGCUUCCACAGGGACGGUUCCUAUGACUGGAGCGCACACAAAGGUUCGGGCAGCCCUAAAAUGCCUUUUGACAACAUCAUGACAACACAGCAUAGCAGUAGCACAAGUAAUGCUGAGUCAUAAAUACUCACUCUAUAGUUUUCUAUCAUUAGCUAACCGCCAUAAGCCGCUUCUCAGAACAAGACUGGAGCAGUAGAAGGCUUGCAUGUACUGAGCAGAGCGAGGCUACAAGUCAUUUCUUAGGAAAUGUUUUUUUCUUUUUAUGUUAAAUCCUCUUUUGACAAAGUCUCUCUUUCAGUAGGUUAUCUAAUCCGUGCAGUUAAAAAUUCAAUCAGACGCCCUCAACAAGCACAAAACCUCUGAUUCCUUUUUGUACACUUUGGUUGAGUUUGAAGCUGCACUGUCUAAGAACCACAUUUACACUUUUUUUGUCUGUUAAACGAUGUAAAAAAAAAAAAGUGUGUAACAAGAGGAUUGUUGCUGUGACUUCUCGUUUGACACUUCAUUAGCAUUGUUUUGUAUAAUUUCAGUGAGUUUCUCACACCCGUUUAUUGAAGCUGAUUGAGCCUCUUUCUUGUUCACGCUGACUGGGAUCAUCUCUGUGCAAUUAAACAUCUGGUGAAUUAAAUGUUUUGGACCUCCUGGACCCUCCACAUGGACUCCUGGGAAACCUCCUGGACUCUCUGAGAACUGCUUCACUGCGUCGCACAUGGAUCGUUGUUUCAGACGUGUCUCUGCAGCAGCGUUUUAGUCUCUUUAGCUGAAUGUUGUUGUUUUUUUCCCAGCCAACACAGAUGCACAAUCUCGUCACUGUCGGCAAUGCGUUGCCAUGGUUACUCCAGGCUCACCCAAGUCGCUGCGCCCUAGGUGAUCCCAAAAGGUGCCUGGCUGAAUGGGACAUCAUCGCCAUGGAGAUUGAGGCGAUGACACUCACGCACACACACACACACACACACACACACACACACAGUCACAGACUCAGAAAAGAGACCUGAUCUCAUGAGCUGCGCCGUCUGACUCGAUGAAAAGUUGUCUCUCCAAAGGGAAGACAGCCGUGCGGAUUGAGCUGUCACUUGAAGGGAACUGCGUGGAAAAUAAACGGAUCUCUCUUUUCUCUUUCAUUCUGUCAAACCUUUCCUUUGGGUAAUUCCAAGCCAAAGCCUGGGUCCAGAAGACGAGCAGGUGGACAUAAGUGUGCUGCAUUUAAAAUGACUCUGACUCAAACCUACACCCCGCCCUUGCUUCAUGUCUAAAGCAUGUCAGUGUACAGUGCCAGAGUGAGGGACAUCACCACAGGGCUUUCCCCACUUUGACUCCCAUUUUAUUGUGCGAUCCAUCCUGAUGCUCCUUUGGUCCUGUGCUUUCUGCCUGUUGGUGACUGUUUCGUAGGCACAUGAACUCCAAGUGGGCUCUCUUGCACACAGAUUAAAAAAAAUAAAAAGAAGUAAAUAAAUAGAAGUAAAUAUUGACUCCAGUCAAUAGAGACUGGUGGUUGAUCGGUUCUAAACUGUGUUGGUAAGAAGAAAAAAAAAACAUGUAUCUCCUGGGGGCAUAUAUGUGGCCCCGCAUGAAAUAUUUCUAUUUCUGAUCAUUCGGUGACAUUUUGCCCUGCUGAAUGUGCCCCCGAGGGGAUAUGAAACACUCCAUGCCUUCGCUGUGUUCACCUGUGAAUAAUAAAAAUAAAUGUACAAGCUGACAUUUCCUUA